ACUUUGCUAUGGGCAGCUACUAGAGGACUACGAGCGUGUGCUUAAAACUCAAAGGACUUGGCGGCUAGUUAACUACCUAGGGGAAUAUGCGCCUUAAUCCGAUGAUCCCCGUUGAAUCUUACUGUACCUCGAAGAAGAACAGCUGGUGUAUUGCCGUCGUCAGCCUGUUGUUUGAGCAAAUAGAAACAGGCCCAAGGGACUUACAGGCCAAUUAAGUUUGGUAGGGACCACGAAGUCAGGUCGAAAUGCCGCCAAUGGUGCUAGGGAGUGGGUGUUACAAUUCUUAUUUAGAUAUUUCGGAUCCUGGUAACAGUGAAAUCUCUGGGUGAAGCUGAACUUAGGAGUAAGGGAAGAUUAAUAUGCUCCCCUGAACUUGAGACUAACUUGUGCACAAACCGCCCGUCGCUCUCGCCGGAAGGGGAGAU
rnacentral:rRNA from 1 species